rnacentral:rRNA from 1 species
AGAGUUGAUCCUGGCUCAGGAUGAACGCCUGGCGGCGUGCUUAACACAUGCAAGUCGAACGGAGUUUUAACGGAAGUUUCGGAUGGAAGUUAGAACUUAGUGGCGGACGGGUGAGUAACGCGUGGGUAACCUGCCUCAUACAGGGGGAUAACAGUUAGAAAUGACUGCUAACACCGCAUAAUAUAGCGAAACCGCAUGAUUUUGCUAUCAAAUAUUUAUAGGUAUGAGAUGGGCCCGCGUCUGAUUAGCUAGUUGGUGGGGUAAAAGCCUACCAAGGCGACGAUCAGUAGCCGGCUUGAGAGAGUGACCGGCCACAUUGGGACUGAGACACGGCCCAAACUCCUACGGGAGGCAGCAGUGGGGAAUAUUGGACAAUGGGGGAAACCCUGAUCCAGCCGACGCCGCGUGAGUGAAGAAGUAUUUCGGUAUGUAAAGCUCUAUCAGCAGGGAAGAUAAUGACAGUACCUGACUAAGAAGCCCCGGCUAACUACGUGCCAGCCGCCGC